rnacentral:rRNA from 1 species
ACGGGAGGCAGCAGUGGGGAAUAUUGCACAAUGGGCGCAAGCCUGAUGCAGCGAUGCCGCGUGAGGGAAGAAGGUUUUCGGAUUGUAAACCUCUGUCAACAGGGACGAAAAUGACUGUACCUGUGAAGGAAGCUCCGGCUAACUACGUGCCAGCAGCCGCGGUAAUACGUAGGGAGCGAGCGUUAUCCGGAUUUAUUGGGUUUAAAGGGUGCGCAGGCGGCCCGUUAAGUCAGCGGUGAAAUGUCGGGGCUCAACCCGGGCACUGCCGUUGAAACUGGGGGGCUUGAGUACGGAUGAGGUCGGCGGAAUGUGACGUGUAGCGGUGAAAUGCAUAGAUAUGUCACAGAACACCGAUUGCGAAGGCAGCCGGCCAAUCCGCAACUGACGCUCAUGCACGAAAGCGUGGGGAUCGAACAGGAUUAGAUACCCUGGUA